ACGAAGAGGUAUCGUAAUUGAAGAGGUUUGGAAAGACCCACCACAGAAGGUAAUAGUCCUGUAUGUUAAACGAGAAGACUUCAGAUAUGAUCCAGAGUACCACGGGACACGUGAAACCCUGUGGGAAGCAGGAGGGACCACCCUCCAAGGCUAAAUACUACCUAGUGACCGAUAGCGUAUAGUACCGUGAGGGAAAGGUGAAAAGAACCCCGGGAGGGGAGUGAAAUAGAACCUGAAACCCUGCACUUACAAGCUGUGGAAGCACAUUUCUUGUGUGACCGCGUACUUUUUGUAGAACGGGCCAACGAGUUACGUUAAGUAGCAAGGUUAAGCACUUAAGGUGCGGAGCCGUAGCGAAAGCGAGUUUUAACUGAGCGUUCAGUUACUUGACGUAGACCCGAAACCGGGCGACCUACCCAUGAGCAGGAUGAAGCGAAAGUAAAAUUUCGUGGAGGUCCGAACCCACGAGCGUUGAAAAGCUCGGGGAUGACUUGUGGGUAGCGGUGAAAUUCCAAUCGAGCCCGGAGAUAGCUGGUUCUCCCCGAAAUAGCUUUAGGGCUAGCCUCAAGGUGAGAGAUACGGAGGUAGAGCACUGAAUGUCCUAGGGGGUAUUGCACCUACCGAAGACUAUCAAACUCCGAAUGCCGUCAUCUUAUACUUGGGAGUCAGACUGUGGGUGAUAAGAUUCAUAGUCGAAAGGGCAACAGCCCAGAUCGUCAGCUAAGGUCCCUAAAUGUAAGUUAAGUGGUAAAGGAUGUGGGAUUGCACAGACAACCAGGAUGUUGGCUUAGAAGCAGCCACUCAUUCAAAGAGUGCGUAAUAGCUCACUGGUCGAGUGAUCCUGCGCCGAAGAUUUCCGGGGCUAAAACUUACUACCGAAGCUACGGCAUCAUUAUGAUGGGUAGGGGAGCUUCCCAUACGGGUUGAAGCAUGACCGUAAGGACAUGUGGACAGUAUGGGAGUGAGAAUGUUGGCAUGAGUAGCGAGAUGUGGGUGAGAAUCCCACAGGCCGUAAACCCAAGGUUUCCAGGGGAAGGUUCGUCCGCCCUGGGUUAGUCGGGACCUAAGCUGAGGCCGAAAGGCGUAGGUGAUGGACAACAGGUUGAUAUUCCUGUACUACCGAUAACCGUUUGAGAGAAGGGAUGACACAGUAGGAUAAGCUAAGCACACUGUUGGUUAUGUGUGCCCAAGCAUUGAGGCAGUCAAAGCAGGCAAAUCCGCUUUGAUAAUGCUGGGAUGUGAUGGGGAGCGAAAUUUAGUAGCGAAGUAGCUGAUUUCACACUGUCAAGAAAAGUCUCUAUCGAGGUUAAAGGUACCCGUACCGCAAACCGACACAGGUGGGUGAGGAGAGUAUCCUAAGGCCAGCGAGAGAACUGUUGUUAAGGAACUCGGCAAAAUGACCCCGUAACUUAGGGAUAAGGGGUGCCACCAUCCGGUGGCCGCAGAGAAUAGGCCCAAGCGACUGUUUACCAAAAACAUAGGUUUCUGCUAAGUCGCAAGACGAUGUAUAGGAGCUGACGCCUGCCCGGUGCUGGAAGGUUAAGGGGAUCUGUUAGAGCAAUCGAAGCAGUGAACUUAAGCCCCAGUAAACGGCGGCCGUAACUAUAACGGUCCUAAGGUAGCGAAAUUCCUUGUCGGGUAAGUUCCGACCCGCACGAAAGGCGUAACGAUUUGGGCACUGUCUCAACAACAGACUCGGUGAAAUUGUAAUUCCGGUGAAGAUGCCGGAUACCUGCGACAGGACGGAAAGACCCCAUGGAGCUUUACUGUAGCUUGACAUUGGGUCUUGGUACUACAUGUACAGGAUAGGUGGGAGGCUUUGAAACCAGGACGCCAGUUUUGGCGGAGCCAUCCUUGGGAUACCACCCUUGUAGUACUGGGACUCUAACCAUAGGCCAUGAAUCUGGUCUUGGGACACUGUCAGGUGGGCAGUUUGACUGGGGCGGUCGCCUCCCAAAAGGUAACGGAGGCGCUCAAAGGUUCUCUCAGUACGGUCGGAAAUCGUACGUAGAGUGUAAAGGCAAAAGAGAGCUUGAUUGCAAGACAUACAGGUCGAGCAAGGAUGAAAAUCGGACUUAGUGAUCCGGUGGUUCUGCGUGGAAGGGCCAUCGCUCAACGGAUAAAAGCUACCCUGGGGAUAACAGGCUUAUCUCCCCCAAGAGUCCACAUCGACGGGGAGGUUUGGCACCUCGAUGUCGGCUCAUCACAUCCUGGGGCUGUAGUAGGUCCCAAGGGUUGGGCUGUUCGCCCAUUAAAGUGGUACGCGAGCUGGGUUCAGAACGUCGUGAGACAGUUCGGUCCCUAUCCGUCGCAGGCGUAGGAAAUUUGAGAAGACCUGUCCUUAGUACGAGAGGACCGGGAUGGACGUACCUCUGGUGUACCAGUUGUUCUGCCAAGGGCAUGGCUGGGUAGCUAUGUACGGAAUGGAUAAGCGCUGAAAGCAUCUAAGCGCGAAGCCAACUUCAAGAUAAGAUUUCCCACCGCAAGGGUAAGACCCCAGAAAGACUAUCUGGUUGAUAGGUCGAAGGUGUAAGUGCAGCAAUGUAUUUAGCUUAUCGAUACUAAUAG
rnacentral:rRNA from 1 species